rnacentral:rRNA from 1 species
GUGCCAGCCGCCGCGGUAAUACAGAGGGUGCGAGCGUUAAUCGGAGUUACUGGGCGUAAAGGGCGCGUAGGCGGUUGUUUAAGAUUGAUGUGAAAUCCCUGGGCUUAACCUAGGAAGUGCAUCGAUGACUGGACGGCUAGAGUAUUGUAGAGGGUGGCGGAAUUUCCGGUGUAGCGGUGAAAUGCGUAGAGAUCGGAAAGAACACCAGUGGCGAAGGCGGCCACCUGGACAAAUACUGACGCUGAGGCGCGAAAGCGUGGGGAGCAAACAGGAUUAGAUACCCUGGUAGUCC